GAUGUAGAACGCAGCGAAAUGCGAUAAGUAAUGUGAAUUGCAGAAUUCAGUGAAUCAUCGAAUCUUUGAACGCACAUUGCGCCCGCCAGUAUUCUGGCGGGCAUGCCUGUUCGAGCGUCAUUUCAACCAUCAAGCCCCCGGCUUGUGUUGGGGACCUGCGGCUGCCGCAGGCCCUGAAAACCAGUGGCGGGCUCGCUAGUCACUCCGAGCGUAGUAAUACAUCUCGCUCAGGGCGUGCUGCGGGUUCCGGCCGUUAAAAGCCUUAUUUACCCAAGGUUGACCUCGGAUCAGGUAGGAAGACCCGCUGAACUUAAGCAUAUCAAUAAGCGGAGGA
rnacentral:misc_RNA from 1 species